UUUUUUUUAUUGCUUUGUUUGAUUUUUAAUUUUUUAAUAAUGCUGCUCAACUCUCGACUGUUUCUUACUGUGCUUUUUCUAGAGAUGAAAUCUAUGAUAAUGGUUCUAAAUUUGUGUGAGAUGGGUCUCUAGAUCGUUCAUUCGGUAGAUCAAGGGGGAACUUCAUGUAUGGAAGAGGGAGAGGCUCAUACCGAUUUCAUAGAUCACGUAGAGAUGGGGAUUCUGGGCGUGAUUUUGAAAGCUAUAGAGGUGCAGCUGAUUAUCGCUUUAGGCAUAAAUGUACAGUUACUGUUGGGGAGUAUGAAAAUGAACGUAAUGCCUAUGACAGUAGACUAGAUGGUGCUGCCUCUGGUAGUAAUAGGAAGAGGAAGCCAUUAAAUGAUGACUUGCUUUCAUUUCAACAUCUACCUGCACGUCUACUAUCCCCCAAUGGAAGAGAAGAUGCUGCAGCAAUGGGCAUUAAAAUUCUUCGUAGAGCUCCUGGGAAAUAUCAGCCUAGGCAGAUGCACUGGUGAAGAUGGCUCUGAGUAUGUUGGUCCUCGGCAUAGCGAGAAGUUUGACAGAAACUUUCCAUCAAAUAUUAGUGAUCCCGUUUACAGUCACUGGCAAUCUAUGUAUGAUAGACUUGAUGCUCAUUUUGUUCAGGGUAAUACACGGUUUACUGCGAUACAGAGAAGUGAUUUCCCUCGAACUCAAUCUAAAUCUCUUGGUAGAUCCCGUACUUGUUCGUCUCCUCAUAGGAUAUUGACGGAAGGAUUGAAUGGCCAUCAAGAUUCAUCUCAGCACAGGUUACGGGUUAUGUAUAGGGAAGAUAGAAUGAGGUUUGGUCCACAAACUUCUUUUACUGAUGAAGAAAUAGUUCCUCAAAGGCUAUACUUCUCGUCGUCUGAAUGAUAUGAGGGAUAUGGAUGCUAUAUAGAAGCACAAGCAUCCCAGGUCUCUCUUUCUAACAGAAGAUGUCCACCUGAUCAGGUAUUUACUAGUACCAAUACGAGAGUUGAGAUUUUAGAUCAUCGGGAAAGGGCUGAUGGUGAUGCGUACUUAGAUGGGUCGAUACGCACUGGUAGGUUUCCUGAGCUUCACAGUGGUGAAAGUACUAAUAAAAGAAGGAAGGUGAGAGGCAAGGAGGACGUAAGCAAAUAAGAAAUUCUGAAGAGCAAGAUGGUGGUAACUUUAGGCAGAGUAAACAACUUUGGCAUGAAGACAAAUUUGAUGUCUCCAAAUUGAAGAAAAGAAGCAAAAACAUGUAUGAAUGCAUAGUUUCCCAUAGAUUGAAGGUUUGAUGAGCUAUUAAUCCAAUAAGUGCUUUCAAUCAGGAGAUAUUCCGUGUUUUAGUCACGCUCUCUCUUCCACAAUUAUUAUUCAUCUAGAUAAAUUCAGAAGUCUGCCUCCCUUCUAUAAUAUGAAAGCAUGCUGCUGUUACCCUUCUCUGUCUGCAAGGAACAUUGAGAUAUCUUCUUUUCUUCAAUCUGGAGCCAUCAAAUUCUUAUUCAUGCCAAAGUCGUUCAUUCGGUCUCAGAUUACCAUCUUCUUGCUCUUUGACAUUUCUCAUUUGCCUAAGUCAACCUUGCCUCUCACCAUACUUCCUUCUUUCAUCACUACUUUCACCACUGUGAAGCUCAGGAAAUCUACCUGUGUGUAUUGGCUCAUCAAAGUACACAUCACCAUCAUCCCUUUUCUAAUGAUCUAAAAUUUCUACUCUCGGCCUAUUAGUUCUAGUAAAUACCUGAUCAGGUGAACUUCCUCUACUAGAAAGAGACCUUGUAUGCCCGUGCUCCAGUAUAGAAUUUACGUCCCUCAUAUCAUUCAGACGAUGAGCAGUAUAAGAUGGAGAGUCACGCCUUUGAGGAGCUAUUGCUUCUUCAGUAAAAGAAGUUCGUGAAGACGACCUCAUUCUAUCUUUUAUGUACAUAAUAGGAGACCUGUGGUAAGAUAAACCUUGACGACCAUUUAAUCCUUCCGUCAAUAUCCUCGGAGGAGAGGAUCAAGUACGGGAUCUAACAGGAGAUUUCGACCAUAUUUGAGGGAAACCACUUCUCUGCAUCGCAGUAAACUUUGUUUUACCCUGACCGAAAUAAUGAUCAGGUCCAUCGUACAUAGACUGUUGGUGACUAUAAACAGGAUUACUAAUAUCAACUGGAAAGUCUCUAUUAAACUUCCCACCAUGCCAACUACCAGUAUACACAGAGCCAUGUUCACCAGCGCAUCUGGUUGGGCUAAUAUUCUUGGGAGCGCUAUGAAGCAUUUGAAUGCCCAUCAUGGCAACAUCUUCUCUUACAUUAGGGAUAGUCGAUGUGCAGGUGGAUCCCGAAAUGAAUGCAAGGCAUCAUUUAAUGGAUUCCUCCUCCUAUUACUAGCAAAGGCACCACCAUCUAGUCUAGCUACUAUCAUAGUCAUUAUGUUCAUUUGUAGAUUCCCAAGCAGUAGCUGUAUGAUUAUGUCUAAAGCAAUAAUCAGUUAUACCUCCAUAGUUUUCAAAAUACACCCAGAAAACCAAUCUCUACGUAAUAUGUGAAACCGGCCCCAGCCCCUCCUUCUUCCAUGUAUGAAGUUCCCCCUUAGCUACCAAAUGAACGGUCCUGAAACCUAUCUCACAUAAAUUUAGGACCAUAACCAUAGAUUGUUGCGGAAAUAGAUGCCUCCACUUUAUCACUGGAUACAUUUAGUUCUUUGAGGUCAAAGUUUGAAUUUUUAGUAGCAAUAUCAGAGUAUUCAGAUGGAGUAGACAAGUCCGCACCACUCAGUUUUUACAACAUUAGCCUCAAAUGUUCCAGCUGAACGAACCGAAGUUCCAGCAUUUGCUUGUACCAACGUUUCCACAACUAGUUCUGACUCAACAAUUUUAAAAGUAGGGGAAUUCAUGUUUCUUUCCAAUGUCCUAUUUUUCAGCAAACUUGAAUUUGGACCAAAACGAUUGGGUGUCUACUUUAGCCAAUGAGUUAAAACCUUGAAAAGUACUACCAAGACUAAGACAAAGCACAUCUCUAGACUUGUGUCGUAGAGCAAGAUGUAUUGAUGAGAUGGGAAAAUUAAAUUCCUGCACACGAGCUCCAACAAUUUGCUUCCCUUGUUUGGUAAUAACAUCCUCCGUGACAGAAACUUUUGUCGUACCUAAAGCUUCCUGGUUAGAUAAUGAUUGUUUCACUGGAUCGCCAAAAUUUCUUGAUGGCACGGAACUAGUAUUAAGAUGGAUAGGCGCAUUGGUCUUGCAUCAUUUUCAUUAAAAAAGAGCAUUCAGGAUGGAUAGGUGCACAUAGAUUAAACAUAGAGGACAACCUCUUCUUAAUAUGAAGAAAACACGAAGACUUACUAGAUUGCCGUGCAAGAAUUCCAGCAAUAGUUUUACAAGUAGGGGAAUUCAUGUUCCUAUUUAAUGCCAAAUUUUUCAGCAAAUUCGGACCAACACUGUUGGAGUCUACUUUAGCUUAUGGCUUCAGUACUUAGGAGUCAAACCCUCGUAAAGUACUACCAAGACUAGGACGAAGCACAUUUGUAGAAUUUUGUCACAUGGAAGGAUGUAUUGAUGAGAUGAGAAAAUUAAAUUUAUGCUCAAUAGCUCCAAGAACUUGCUUUCCUUUAUCACCCUUAGAACCAAUAACAGAAGCAGAACUAAUACGUGGAUUGCUGUCUAGUGAACUAAAUGUCUUUCGGAAAAAAUCAAUUUGACUUGCAUCUUCAACAUGAACUACAACUUUUGUCUUGGAUUCAUUUUCAUCUGAAAAAUACUGUUCAGGACGGGUAGGUCCAUGAGGAUCGAUCAUAGAGUACCACCUCUUCUUAAUAGGAAGAACAUGCAAAGAGUUACUAGACUGCUGGGCAACAACUCCACGCUGCAAAUAUGUUGUGAACCGAGAGGGACAUGUAAGGGACUAUGGACUAGAAUUGGUGGAGACUAAUUUAGUUGGGAUUAUUGGGCCGAGUAAAAUGUUGGAGUGUUAUUUGGGAUCCCAUCCCAAUUAUCAUUUGGUUAAAAUGGCAAAUGAGUUGGAAAUAAGGGUUUAUGCAUAUUGUGAAACAAAUUGUCAGAUCCUCUCGUCUCUUUCUAAAGUCUAAUGUUCUCAUCCCCAUUCUUAUCUCUAUCUUUAGUUACUUGUUAUUUCAGUAUUUUGCGUUGUUAUUCAAUAGUUGAACUGUUGUCGUUGUAAUUUGGAUAUUAGUAAUUAUAUAAUACUUUAGUAUUUUAGUUGAGAAUUCAGGUUAACUACAAAAUACAUGAUGAAAUAGAGUAAUAUUAAAAAACAAAGCAAGUAUUACACAGUUAGGCCAAUUUUCAAUAGCAAAUAAGAAAUCAGAUUGAGGCCUCUUUGUUCCCGGAAACUUGCAUAAUUCCAGAAUCAGCUAAAGCUAAAGCUUUUCUUUUCAUCUCGAGAUGAUAUCAAUCAUGUCAUAGAACACAAUUGAAACCAAAUAAGCCAAAAUAUAAGUACAACACAAAAGAAGAGAAACAGAACACUCAUACUCAUUUCAAUCUCAGCUGCUCAUUUAAAAAAAACGAAUUUAGUCUCCCUUACUUUACUCGACUUCAACCUCUACAACUAGUUUGUUUUUCAGCUCCCAUGAAUUCAUCCUUGACCUUAAGGAUCAACAAUCAAACCCCGGAAACUUUGCCUUAAGGAACUAGUAGUCUUCCCAAGUUGACUUCUCAGAUCAUAACAUUCCAUCUCCCAAUGAGUAUGAAUGUUUUGUUUCUCUUCUUUUGUACUAAACUGAUAUUUUUGGAUUAUCUGGGUUCAAUUCUGUUCUACGACUUGAUUGAUAUUGUCUCGAGAUGAAAAGAAAAGCUUUAGAUUUAGCUGAUUCUAGAAUCAUGCUAGUUUCUGGGAAAGAAGAGCUUGGAGUUCUUUCUCGACACUAUAGUAACUCUUCAUCUUUUGUUCCUUUUAAGAAGAGGUUGUAUCUUCAUGCACCUAUCCAUUCUGAAUGCUCUUGUUCUUAUAAAUAUGAAUCCAAGACCAAAGAUGUUUUUUCCGUUGAAGAUGCAAGUCAAACUGAUCUGUUACGUAAGACAUCUAGUUCACUAGACAUCAAGCCACUAAUUAGUUCUGCUUCUAUUAUUGGUUCUAACGGUGAUAAAGAAAAGAAUGUUAUUGGAACUAGUGAGCAGGAAUUUUAAUUUUCCCAUCUCAUUAAUACAUCCCGCCAUAUGACACAAAGUCCUUGGAAGUGCUUCGUCUUAGUCUUGGUAGUACUUUUCAAAGGCGUGACUCCUCAGUACUGCAGCCAUUGACUAAAGUAUACACCAACAAUGUUAGUCCAAGUGGAACAUUUGAGAUUAAUGUUGUAAAAACUGAGGUUGCGAGGUAGAAUCUGCAGUCUAUUGAGUUGUCAACUGAAGAUCCAACCCAAUAAGUUAGCCUGGAAAUAUCCAUGACAUCAUAUGUGAUUGCUCACCGUUCAGUUGGAAAGAUUUUGCCAGUUUAGGAGAGUUCUUCUUCUUCUUCUUCUUCUUCUUCUACGUUGAUAAUGCCUUUGGCCUCUCAUAAAUGAUGCACUUUCUAGAUUGUCUGUGAGUGGUGCGGAAGCUGAUAUUGCUGCUAACAAUGCUCUAGGUCAGGCAAAUGCUAAUACUGCUGCUGAAAAUGCUAAAUUUUGACCUCAAAUAACUAAAUGUAUCCAGUGAUAAAGGGGAGGCAUCUUUUUCCGUGAGUAUUAAUAUGGAAGAUCACACGGUAUACAAAAAACCACAAGGCAUACAUAAUUUAGUUGCAAGUGGUGAGGGGUCAGCAAAUGAUGGGGAAAAGAUAAGUAUAUCAGCUGGUACAGAAGAAGAAUGUUAUGCUUCUGCUUAUGAAUCUGAUGGUUAUCAGAAUUUUGCAAGACAUGUUGACACUGAGAGUGUGGGUUUUUUCCAGAGAGGAUGGCAUAUACGAAGACGGUAAGAUCUGAGAACUAAAGAUGUAGUCAAUUGCAGAAGACCCAAUGGCUGCGGAGAUGGAUUCAGGAAAAAAUAAUGAAUCUUCAAGUAAAAAUGUUCAUUCUUCUCUUUGGAAAUAGAUACAUGACUAGUAACUUGCUUCAUUCAUGAAGUGUGAGUUAUAGGAUAAGGGGUGAUGUAAUUCUUGAAUGAAUAAGAGUUACAAAUCUAAACCUUGUCCUAUAAAAGGGAGGACUUGGGGUCAUCCAAACAACACAAACAACACAAGAAAGGAGUUUCUUAGAUAAAGAGUGUAGUUGUUGUGGAAACCAAUAUCAGACUCCAUAGUGAUCUUGUAAGAAACCACUUAGGCAGUUGGGGGUGAUAGCACUUUAUCCUACUACUAAAAGAGAUGAAGGUUUAGCUGAUUAUCGCUUCAGACAUAAACGUAAUGACUAUGAUAGUUGACUAGAUGGUGCUGCCUUUGCUAGUAAUAGGAGUAGGAUUCUAUUAAAUGAUGACUCCCCUUCAUUUAUUUAUCCACCUUCACGUCGCUGCUGUCAUGCUGUAGGGCAUUCAAAUGAAUAUAAGCCCAAGCUUUCGCACUGGUGAAGAUGACUGCGAGUAUGUCGGUGUUCAGCAUAGUGAGAAGUUUAAUAGAUUCUUUCUAGUUGUUUAUAGUCAUCAACAAUCUAUGUACGAUGGACCUGAUUUUCAUUCCGUUCAGAGUAAUACAAAGUUUCCGUGAUCAAGAGAAGUUGUUUCCUCGAAUGCAAUCUAAAUCUCCUGUUAGAUCCCGUACUUGUUCCUCUCGUCGGAGGAGAUUGAUGGAAGGAUUCAAUGGUCAUAAAGAUUCAUCUCAUCUCAGGUCUCCAGUUAUGUACAGGGGAUAGAACGAGGUCUGAAGAAUCAAUAGCUCCUCAAAUGCGUGACUCUCUAUCUUAUAGAGCUCGUCGUCUGAAUGACAUGAGGGAUGUGAAUACUGUAAAGUAGCACGUGCAUACGAGGUCUCUUUUUAGCAGAGGAAGUCCAACUGAUCAUGCAUUUAUUAGAACCAAUAGGAGAGUUGAGAUUUUAUAUCAUCAGGAGAGGGCUGAUGGUAGAUAUCCUGAACUUCAUAGUGGUGAAAGUACUGACAAAUAAAGGAAGUAUGGCAAAGGGAGAGGAGAACCGCGCUAUGCAAAUGAGUAACAUCGAAGAGUAAUAAAGAGGUAUUAUAAGACAGAAAAAACAACUUUGGUUGAAGAUAAUAAGAUUUUGCCAUGGGAAACACUGUUUUAUAGACUAAUGUGUGGCUAAGAUAAGAUGAAAUUAAGAACUAACAAGUAAUAGUUGUAUAUAAUAUGUUUGAAACAUAACACCUCGCAUUAUUGCAUGAACGAAUUAUAUAGUUUAAACAUAUCUUUAGCAUCCUA